CAGUCGCCACGGUAAAACGUAGGUGGCAAGCGUUGCCCGGAAUUAUUGGGCGUAAAGGGCUCGCAGGCGGUUUCUUAAGUCUGAUGUGAAAGCCCCCGGCUCAACCGGGGAGGGUCAUUGGAAACUGGGAAACUUGAGUGCAGAAGAGGAGAGUGGAAUUCCACGUGUAGCGGUGAAAUGCGUAGAGAUGUGGAGGAACACCAGUGGCGAAGGCGACUCUCUGGUCUGUAACUGACGCUGAGGAGCGAAAGCGUGGGGAGCGAACAGGAUUAGAUACCCGCGUAGUCCCUGUCUCUUAUAC
rnacentral:rRNA from 1 species